GGUCAUUUUCCCUCCUAAUUGGAUUUCUUCUGAUUCAGUUGCCUAUAAAUUGAGUAUGGGGGAGAGUUGCGAUGCACAUAUCGAGUUCAACAGGGUGUAGUUAGGGUUUGACGGUAUGGUGUAUAACGAUAAGCUGAAGGAGGAUGGUAAGUUCGAUGAUGUUGCUGAAAUUGGUCGUAUUAAGGUUAGGGUGCAUGCUUCGUCUGUGGAAAGUACCUGCUUUUCUUAAUCCAAUUGAAUCCAAUUCGCUUGAGAUGGUUUUGGGCGAUGAGAAGGUAAGUCUGUUUUGUUUACUGUAUUUAAUUUGUGUUGAUCGUGUGUUAUGUGUAGAUAAUGAAUUAUUGGUUUAUUAAUUUUUAGGGUGGAAAAAUUCAUGCCACUGUUAGGAAGUUUNNNNN
rnacentral:lncRNA from 1 species